UACGGAGGGUGCAAGCGUUGUCCGGAUUUAUUGGGUUUAAAGGGUGCGUAGGCGGUCUUUUAAGUCAGUGGUGAAAUCCUCCAGCUCAACUGGAGAACUGCCAUUGAUACUGGAAGACUUGAGUAUAGUUGAGGUAGGCGGAAUUGACAGUGUAGCGGUGAAAUGCAUAGAUAUUGUCAAGAACACCGAUUGCGAAGGCAGCUUACUAAACUAUAACUGACGCUGAGGCACGAAAGUGCGGGGAUCAAACAGG
rnacentral:rRNA from 1 species